AGUGAACGCUGGCGGUAGGCCUAACACAUGCAAGUCGAACGGCAGCACAGUAAGAGCUUGCUCUUACGGGUGGCGAGUGGCGGACGGGUGAGGAAUACAUCGGAAUCUACUUUUUCGUGGGGGAUAACGUAGGGAAACUUACGCUAAUACCGCAUACGACCUACGGGUGAAAGCAGUGGAUCUUCGGACCUUGCGCGAUUGACUGAGCCGAUGUCGGAUUAGCUAGUUGGCGGGGUAAAGGCCCACCAAGGCGACGAUCCGUAGCUGGUCUGAGAGGAUGAUCAGCCACACUGGAACUGAGACACGGUCCAGACUCCUACGGGAGGCAGCAGUGGGGAAUAUUGGACAAUGGGCGCAAGCCUGAUCCAGCCAUACCGCGUGGGUGAAGAAGGCCUUCGGGUUGUAAAGCCCUUUUGUUGGGAAAGAAAAGCAGCAGGUUAAUACCCCGCUGUUCUGACGGUACCCAAAGAAUAAGCACCGGCUAACUUCGUG
rnacentral:rRNA from 1 species